rnacentral:rRNA from 1 species
GAUGAACGCUGGCGGCGUGCUUAACACAUGCAAGUCGAGCGAGAAAAGUUCUUCGGAGCUUUUCUAGCGGCGGACGGGUGAGUAACACGUGGGCAACCUGCCUCAUAGAGGGGAAUAGCCUUCCGAAAGGAAGAUUAAUACCGCAUAAUAUUGUUGAAAGGCAUCUUUUAACAAUCAAAGGAGCAAUCCGCUAUGAGAUGGGCCCGCGGCGCAUUAGCUAGUUGGUGAGGUAACGGCUCACCAAGGCGACGAUGCGUAACCGACCUGAGAGGGUGAUCGGCCACAUUGGAACUGAGACACGGUCCAGACUCCUACGGGAGGCAGCAGUGGGGAAUAUUGCACAAUGGGGGAAACCCUGAUGCAGCAACGCCGCGUGAGUGAUGAAGGUCUUCGGAUUGUAAAGCUCUGUCUUUAGGGACGAUAAUGACGGUACCAAAGGAGGAAGCCACGGCUAACUACGUGCCAGCCGCCGCGGUAACAC